rnacentral:rRNA from 1 species
UACGUAGGUGGCAAGCGUUGUCCGGAAUUAUUGGGCGUAAAGCGCGCGCAGGCGGUCCUUUAAGUCUGAUGUGAAAGCCCACGGCUCAACCGUGGAGGGUCAUUGGAAACUGGGGGACUUGAGUGCAGAAGAGGAAAGCGGAAUUCCACGUGUAGUGGUGAAAUGCGUAGAUAUCGGGAGGAACACCAGUGGCGAAGGCGGCAUCCUGGCCCUGUCCUGACGCUCAGGGGCGAAAGCGUGGGGAGCAAACCGG